ensembl:lncRNA
AUGCUUUUUAGGUUGCUGGCGUACACUGCACCUGAGGCAUGGGAGAGGCGCGCCGCUCCAGACAAUGCGCGCGCACCCUCUGCUGGCGACAAGGAGAGAUGGUGGCGCUUCUUAAGACACCUUAACUAUCACAUGGAGCUGACUUCAUUAUUUGCUCAGAAACUUAGCGCGUUCUCUUCGGUUAUUCAUUACACGUUAAGUAUGGAUGAAUGCACUGUAAAUUUGUAUGGUCUCUGUCUUAAAAAUAUACACUCAGAUAGGAUAAGUGGAUAAGUGAUUUACUGCAUUACAGCGGCUGUUGUGUGCCAGCGCGUCGCGCCUCCGCAGGGCUCGUGGUGAUGCAUGACGCAUCGCGCUGGUUUUGACAUUCACUGAGCUUCCCUCAUUAAGCGCUCUCGCCCGCGGGUUGCCAUCUAGGCAUAGGCCGUACUGAAGGAUCACCAGUCCGCCGAGCGGACAGAAUACGGAUAAAAUCUCUCUAUGGAGCAGCUGGCUAUGACAGAAGAGUUUACCCUGCCGAACGGAUGAAUAACCCGAUAAAUACUAUGUUCAGUAAAAGGGUCCUGCGUUCCUGAGCCAGUGUCGCCUGGACGAACGAUGUACCAUUUAGAAACAGACAUUUAGAUGAUCGUUAAACGUUUAAAAGUGUAUUUAAAAUGACAGUAAAAUGGUGUGAUAAUGACUUUUGGCCCUGUGUACUUUUUGAAAAUGUGAUGUUUUUGUCAAUUCUGUGAUAAAAAUGACAUUUUAAAGGGGUCCUAUUAUGCUUUUUCACUUUUUGAAUUUUAGUCAGUCUGUAGUGUGUAUGUUUGGGCAUAAAAAGAUAUUCAAACAAAUCUCAAACUCCACUCCAAAUGGAGAUAGGCUAUUUCGUUUUUGUUUUUUUCCUUUUCAAGAACUACAUCGAUCGAACGGCUCGUUUGGACUACAGCGUUUGUUUUCCGGGUUUUGUGACGGCCCAUUCGAAUAUCAUUAAAAUAAUUCCGCCUACGGAAAUUCGAAUGGUUUGGGGGUGGGGAGGGGCGAGGUCGUUGUUAUAAAGCUUGGUUGAGUGCAUCAGACAAGACGACGAUAAAGAAGUGCUGCUGUAGUGCUUUUCGCAAGUUAUUACACAUGCACCUGAAUAAUUAUGUAUGUAAAUAUGUAUGUUACAAUUAUGAAAACGUUUUUAUAAUAAAUUGCUGACAGUACAAUACUGGACA